AUUUGGAUAGAUUGCUGCUUCCAUAUAUUACCUCUUAAUUUUAUAUAAAUAAAAUACAUCCCACAAGCAUUAAACUUUUAUUAUCAAAUUCAAAAUUAAAACAAUGAAAUUUUACGACCAAAUAUAAAACCUAAUUUAGCCACAGCCCACAGGAUACCUCAACCCCUAUUACAACAAGAAGUCGAGAAUUGAAGCCAUAAUUAAUCAACAUCCCACUUUAAUUUACAACAAUUAAUUAUAAUUAUAUAUAAUAUAUAUCUCCCACGUUUACAUAAUUAUAUGGAUCAGAACUGAUCCGGCCACAGAAAUGCACCCAUCGCAAACUUCCUUUUCUCGUCCAAAUCACCCCUGAAGUUUAGCCCAUACUGGCGAAGAAGCAAGUCGAUCUGCUCCUCAUUCAUCUUCUCGUAGUCCGAUCUCGCGUACCGCGGAUAAUGCAGCGGCAUUUGGAAACCGUAAUUAGCCACUUUCUCCGUCUCCGGCGCUUUGCUUGCCGCCGAUUGCUGGACAACAAUUGCGCUUGCAAAACUGAGAAGCCAAUCCCAGCCCAUUACUAUUCACAAUUUUUUUUUAGUUUUAAUUUUAUUUUUGUUUUUCUGGGUUGAGGAAUUUGAGGCAGAAGGCGGUUUUAAUUUAUAGGUGGGAGGAGACACAAAUAUCUAGAGAUUACUUGGUGAAGAAUCCAAGUAAUUAAAUGCUAGGUACGUCUGGAUGUUUCCGGAAUUGAUGAUCUGUGGGUACAGCUCAUUUUCUGUUUCUGAUAUAUGUACU
rnacentral:lncRNA from 1 species